rnacentral:rRNA from 1 species
UACGUAGGCAGCGAGCGUUGUUCGGAAUUACUGGGCGUAAAGAGUGUGUAGGCGGUGCUCUAAGUUCGGUGUGAAAUCUCCUGGCUUAACUGGGAGGGUGCGCCGGAAACUGGGGUGCUCGAGCGUGGGAGAGGAAAGCGGAAUUCCUGGUGUAGCGGUGAAAUGCGCAGAUAUCAGGAGGAACACCGGUGGCGAAGGCGGGUCUCUGGGCCGAUACUGACGCUGAGGAGCGAAAGCGUGGGGAGCGAACAGG